UACGGAGGGUGCAAGCGUUAAUCGGAAUUACUGGGCGUAAAGCGCACGCAGGCGGUUUAUUAAGUCAGAUGUGAAAGCCCCGGGCUCAACCUGGGAAUUGCAUCUGAUACUGGUUGGCUAGAGUCUUGUAGAGGGGGGUAGAAUUCCAGGUGUAGCGGUGAAAUGCGUAGAGAUGUGGAGGAAUACCAGUGGCGAAGGCGGCCCCCUGGACCAAGACUGACGCUCAGGUGCGAAAGCGUGGGGAGCAAACAGG
rnacentral:rRNA from 1 species